ACGUUUGUAGAACUGAAACUUCCUUACCGACAUAGCCUGCGAAAGAUAAUCCUGUACUUAAUAAGAACGAAGUACUCAAGCGCAGGCGCUCACGAAAUAAAACAAAAUUGAUUUUUUUUGCCCGUUACUCCUAAAAUUAAAUUACUUCCAGCGAUAACGAAAGGCCUUCAGGUUGCAUUUAUAUGGCCGGCGGCCGAACGAGCCGUUGCACCCAUUAGAAGUGCGACGGUUGAAAAUGGUAUAUCCGAAGGACAGGUUGUUGAACGCGCGCCAUAUGAAAACUUGGAAUCACCUUUAAACGAUAAAACGGAUGGGAGAGCACAGAUGCGGAGGAAGUUACGACCAUGAAUUAUUGCUCUCGCGGAGAGGAACACCAUUUGGCACGUUCACGAGCGCGUUGCCGAUAUCUUCAGUGUCUACUGUAUCGUUCGUCAUCCACUUUCUUCGAAACUUGACGCUUUCUGCUCCUUAAUCGCAUAGUCGAGUUCAUUCAAAUUGUACGCGGAUAAGAAUGACCCAAGUAACGAGUCUACUCGAUAUUAUUAGUAAAGUAUUAAUAAUGUUUAAUAAUAACAAUAACGAUUAUAAUUGCCUAACGAUAGUUAUCGCAUUUGAAAUCUCUUUUGUUAAAAUAUAUUUGCCAAAUGAAACAGUGGCGAAUGCUAUUAUGAACGCUAGUCGACAUUUCGUGUUCUCAUUUUUCCACUAGUUUGCGAGACAUUUAAACACGAUUUGUUAUGGAAAGGAACGUUUUAAACCUUCUAAAACCACGAGGAAAACAGAAAAUAAUGUAGCUUUUUGUACGUUGGUUUGAAGGCAAAUAAUAAUCGUUGGUCCUGGUACGGUGAGCUUACGCCUCGAAUCUCUUCUCACAAUGGCGACGCUUAAUACUACGUGGCUCUUAAGACAUGAUGCGUGGAAGUCUCGAAGCUCGCGAUCCUUUGUGACAACUACUUUUCUUAGCGCCUAUGCCCGUAGGACCGGCUACAAGGUCCUAGCAUGGCAUUGUCAAGACUGGAUUCGAAGGUCAGGACGAACGGCUCGCGUGAGCGACCUUCCCCUCUACUCACCGUUUUUCGUUUACCGGAAAAAGAGGUCUCUCUCUCUCUCCCUCUCUCUUUCUCCUUCUCUGUUUGUUAUUGUAAAUAGAAAGAACGUGAAUAAAGGUUAUAUACAAAUAUGGAUGAGUGCGUAUCCAUGCGAAUAGAAUAAUAACUGUUUACGUAGCAAUCAAUAUUUAUCUAACUUACAAUAGCGAUCAAUAAUAUUGAGAUGAAUCAUACAAGCUUAGAAAGUUUUCGAUUACCAAAUAAUAUACAAUUAAUCUGAAAUUAAAAAGAACGCAGUAAUUCAUCGAUAUUGCAUGGUAAAGUAUUUAAAGCAAAAGAUCGAACGAACUUCUCAUAGGUAAGUAUCCGAAGUAUCAACUAUCGUACAGAAAAAUUCUCCAUUCCUCCCUCGUUACAUGAAAACUUUUUAAUCCCCUGAUGUUAAACAAACGCUAUCUGCUUCCCGCUCGUUCUGCAAAUCAAAAACCACCCCGGACACUUCCUUCUUCUUCUUCCGCGAUUGCUCUCGGAGCAAAAAAAAAAGACCUGCAAAAAAAAUCGUAAAAGAGCGAAAGAAUGACAGAAAGAGAGGAAAAGAAAAAUGUUCUCUUUAAAGCACUCGAUCCCUUUUCUUCUCGGUUUUUUUUUCUCUUUCUCUCUCUUAGUUCGGUAGCAACUCGUCCGUAGAUUUUCUCCGGUGCGUACUUCUUUCUACGCAUACGUGUACUCUCUUUUUCUCUCUCUCUUUCUCCCUCUUUCUCUUUCCCUUCGUCUCUCACCCUACGAGUAUCCUCUCUCUCUCUUAGAAGGUUCGUUUCUACGCACUCGACUUGACGCACCGGGAGUCUGCGAUCAAUGCGUGGCACUGGCAGCGGUCGUCAUGGAAACGCUGCGCGCCACGCACAACGAGCGAACGAUCUGCCUCGAUCGUGCGUAAGUGCGUGCUCCCUCGUGCGCCAGCGCGCGAGCGCGCGCUUACGAGCAAGCUCUAACAUGUGUACGUAAGCUUACGUGUAUUUGUUUGAUUUGUAUUCGUAUUUCUCUAUAUGUAUGUAUAGGACAGGGAGAAUGUACAUAGUAGUUCGAUUGGUGUAUGUUUUGCAAGUGUGUGUACGUGUUCUGUGUCGAAGCCACGAGAAGAGAAACUCUCGCAUGCGACCGCGUGCGCGACUCUCACAGGAGCGAUCGAUGCCCUGCAAAGUUGACGCGAGGAACGGACCAGGAGCACGUGGCACGAUUGCUUCUAUGUACCAACCCCGUUCCAUACCUUCCUUACGUCCGACUCUAAUCUUCUUUUUUUUUUGAGGAAAAUUUAUCUAACUCUUAAUCUUCGUUAUUUUUUGUAAUUUCGAUUUUGUUCCAAUGCUUCUCGCAACCCAAAUUUAAUGUAAUUUAAACAAAUUCGCGAACGUUGUUCUUUAUUUUAUUCGUUGAAAUCUUCUUAUGAAUAGUUUACAUUUCUUUUAGCAUUCAUCAAAUUUUUUCUAUUGCUGCUUCAUGUUAUUGUCUCCUCAAACAGAUACUGUUAACGUAAUCGAUGUAAUUAGUAUUUAUGUAUUGUUUCGUAAAGAU